rnacentral:rRNA from 1 species
UUAUGGCCAAGUUACUAAGGGCAAACGGUGGAUGCCUUGGCGCUGGAUGACGACGAAAGACGUGGUUAGCUGCGAUAAGCUUCGGCGAGCCGCUAAACAGGCAUUGAGCCGGAGAUCUCUGAAUGGGGAAACCCAUUCUGGGUAAUUCCAGGAUAUCUGCAUCUGAAUACAUAGGGUGUAGAGGAAGACGAGGGGAACUGAAACAUCUAAGUACCCUCAGGAAAAGAAAGCAAUAGCGAUUCUCCUAGUAGUGGCGAGCGAACGGGGAACAGCCUAAACCGGGUAUAUGUUAAAGCCUGCAUGCGUUGUAUACCCGGGGUUGUGGGGCUUCGUUGGAGAGAUUAGCAGGUCUCUCGGCAAGUCAAAAACUCAAAGAAUAGCCGAAGGGUCUGGAAAGGCCUGCCAUAGAGGGUGAUAGUCCUUUAGGCGAAAUUCGGAGAGCUUGCCGGACGAGGUACCCAAGUACCGCGGGACACGUGAAACCCUGCGGGAAUCCGGGAGGACCAUCUCCCAAGGCUAAAUAGACGCCAGCGACCGAUAGCGAACUAGUACCGCGAGGGAAAGGUGAAAAGAACCCCGGGAGGGGAGUGAAAUAGUACCUGAAACCGUUUGUCUACAAGCAGUGGAAGAACGUUUGAAAUUCUUCGGAAUUUCAAGUUCGACUGCGUACCUUUUGUAUAAUGGGUCAGCGAGUUACUCUACGUUGCAAGGUUAAGCCGACAGGUGUAGCCGUAGCGAAAGCGAGUCUUAAUAGGGCGAUUCAGUAGCGUGGAGUAGACCCGAAGCCAGGUGAUCUAUCCAUGGACAGGGUAAAGGUCGAGUAACAUCGACUGGAGGCCCGAACCGCAGAAGGUUGAAAACUUCCCGGAUGAUCUGUGGAUAGGAGUGAAAGGCUAAUCAAACCUGGAGAUAGCUGGUUCUCCCCGAAAUAUAUUUAGGUAUAGCCUCACAUAAUAAGUGACGGGGGUAGAGCACUGGAUGGGCUAGGGGUCCUACCAGAUUACCAAACCUAACCAAACUUCGAAUACCGUCAACUCGUAUUGUGGGAGUCAGACCGCGGGAGAUAAGUUUCGCGGUCGAAAGGGAAACAGCCCAGACCGCCGGCUAAGGUCCCUAAGCAUGUGCUAAGUGGAGAAGGAAGUGGAAGCGCCGAGACAGCCAGGAGGUUGGCUUAGAAGCAGCCAUCCUUUAAAGAAAGCGUAAUAGCUCACUGGUCAAGUGAUUCUGCGCCGAAAAUUCAACGGGGCUCAAGCACAUCGCCGAAGCUGCGGACCACGCUUAUGGCGUGGUGGUAGGGGAGCAUUCCAUUCAGGGUUGAAGCCGAACCGUGAGGAUCGGUGGACCGUAUGGAAGAGAGUAUGCUGACAUGAGUAACGAUAAAGCGGGUGAGAAACCCGCUCGCCGUAAGCCUAAGGUUUCCUGAGUAAAGGUAAUCUUCUCAGGGUUAGUCGAUCCCUAAGCCGAGGCCGAAAGGCGUAGGUAAUGGAAAACAGGUUAAUAUUCCUGUACCACCAAGUUGCCGUUUGAGCAAUGGGGGGACGCAGGAGGGUAGGUCAUUCCGGUGAUGGAUAUCCGGAUUCAAGCCCGUAGGCGGAGAGAGUAGGCAAAUCCGCUCUCUCUUAACGCCGAGAGGUGAUGAGGAGUCCCUAAAGGACAUAAACUGACUGAUCCCAUGCUGCCGAGAAAAGCCUCUAGCGAGGUGAUUUGGUGAUCGUACUGUAAACCGACACAGGUAGGCAGGGUGAAUAUCCUAAGGCGCUCGAGAGAACUCUGGUUAAGGAACUCGGCAAAUUAACACCGUAACUUCGGGAGAAGGUGUACCUCCGUCAGGUGAAGAAAUUUACUUUUGGAGCCGAGGGAGGUUGCAGAUAAAUGGGGGUGGCGACUGUUUACUAAAAACAUAGGACUCUGCUAAGUCGCAAGACGAUGUAUAGGGUCUGACGCCUGCCCGGUGCUGGAAGGUUAAGGGGAUUUGUCAUCCGUUUAGGCGGAAAAGCAUUGAACCGAAGCCCCAGUAAACGGCGGCCGUAACUAUAACGGUCCUAAGGUAGCGAAAUUCCUUGUCGGGUAAGUUCCGACCUGCACGAANNNNNNNNNNNNNNNNNAAAGACGGAAAGACCCCGUGAACCUUUACUAUAGCUUGACAUUGGACUUUGAACUGGUAUGUGUAGGAUAGGUGGGAGACUGUGAAAUCCCGACGCUAGUCGGGAGGGAGUCAACCUUGAAAUACCACCCUUAGCAGUUUAGGGUUCUAACCGUGACCCGUUAUCCGGGCCCGGGACAUUGUCUGGUGGGUAGUUUGACUGGGG